AUGGAAGCUAGAAGGGGUGGGACAGGAGGGGUCGCGAGAACCCGCUCAUCCUUCCUAGCUGCAUGGUGUAAACCUUACCCGGGAAUCAUAGAUCCUCUCAUAGCCGAAGCUCUCGCUCUACGCGAUGGCAUUCUUUUUGCACAUCUCCGAGGCUAUGUUGAAGUGGUUUUCGAGUCUGAUAAUUUGGAGAUUAUGAAUCUCUGGAACUCGUGUCACAAUGAUCGUGCAGUGGUGGCGCCUAUCUUGUCUGAAAUUGGGGAGCAUGUUCUCUUCUUUAAGUCUUUUGUAAUUCAGCAUGUUGGUAGGUCAGCUAAUGUUUCUGCUCACCUUUGUGCUAAAGCAAGCUAGCACUCUAGAUGCACAGAAUGUUGGAUUGACUCUACACCGAGUCUUCUUGUAACCAGCCUCUCAGCUGAUAAUGCUGGAGCUGUAUGUGUUGAAUUAAGAGCUCUCAGUUUCCCUGCAGAAAAAAAUAGUAUCAUAUGA
rnacentral:rRNA from 1 species